AUACGGAGGGUGCAAGCGUUAAUCGGAUUUACUGGGCGUAAAGCGUACGUAGGCGGUUUGAUAAGUCAGAUGUGAAAGCCCCGGGCUCAACCUGGGAACUGCAUUUGAAACUGUCAGACUAGAGUUUGGUAGAGGGUAGUAGAAUUCCUGGUGUAGCGGUGAAAUGCGUAGAUAUCAGGAGGAAUACCAGUGGCGAAGGCGGCUACCUGGCCCAAUACUGACGCUGAGGUGCGAAAGCGUGGGGAGCAAACAGGAGUAGAAACCCCAGUAGUCC
rnacentral:rRNA from 1 species